rnacentral:rRNA from 1 species
UACGGAGGGGGCGAGCGUUAUUCGGAAUUAUUGGGCGUAAAGGGCGCGUAGGCGGCUCUUUAAGUCAAAGGUGAAAUCCCUCGGCUCAACUGAGGAACUGCCUUUGAAACUGAGGAGCUUGAGUCCGGGAGGGGGUAGCGGAAUUCCCAGUGUAGCGGUGAAAUGCGUAGAUAUCUGGAGGAACACCGGUGGCGAAGGCGGCAUCCUGGACCAAUAUUGACGCUGAGGAGCGAAAGCCAGGGGAGCAAACGGG